GAAAAGCAUAAGACCAUGUACUACUGAAGUGCGCAAAAGAACCAAAGCCUUUUUAGUGGUUUCCACCUUAAGACAAAGAAGAGAUGAAAAAAAUGAGAAUGUACAUGGUCAACUGUAUAACGCUGGAUGAAGAGACAUAUAUUAUUACCUGAUCCAAGCACUGAUCUAUUUAUUCCCUGAAGCAUGAGAUUAUGAAGAUGAAUGGAAUUCUCUUCAUUGUUGUUUUUCAAUGCAGUAUGCCACCUGCAUUAUCUGACAUUCACAAUUUAGAAGCAUUUUACAUUUUGGAAAACAUAUCAAGACCUCAGUGCUCGUUUCUUCAAAAUAUGAGUACAAAUAGUUUUGUGGCUUUUAUUAAUAUAAAAGAAAAGGCAGUAUCUUUUCCCAUUAUGAGUUUACUUCUAAAGAAUACUUUAAAAUACUUUUCCAGCAAAAAAUUCUACAUAAAACUGACUUUGCAAGGAAAGUGGAACAGAUACAUGCAGCACAGUAACA
rnacentral:lncRNA from 1 species